rnacentral:misc_RNA from 1 species
GGGCAGCGACAGCAUCCACCCCACGCCUCUUCAUCGGCCGGCACAAGCACGGGCUUGUCCGGAGUCGGUUCUCCUGUGUUGGAUACCCAUCGCGACGGCAUUCGGUUGGCUAAAGCAGUCCCAUCUCCGUCCCGUGCUGCUGCUCCGUGYGGGCCAGCGGCUUGGGACGGAUCCCACGGCACGCGUCGUGUUUCGCGCCGCAAUCACCCCCUCGGGUUGGUGUUUGGGUAGGCGACCCACGACGUGCUGCCCGUUGUCUCGGGUACGGAAUAUCGGGUUGGUGCCGGGCCGUCGGUCCCGGAUCACCACACGAAUGCGUUCUACGCUCUAUGCGAACGACUGUCGGCUCGAACCCCGGCUGCGGCCGCUCCUGCGGUCCGGUCGGAUUCGCGCCGGCGUCGGUGAGGGAUGCUACCUGGUUGAUCCUGCCAGUAGUCAUAUGCUUGUCUCAAAGAUUAAGCCAUG